rnacentral:rRNA from 1 species
CCCUUAGAUGUUCUGGGCCGCACGCGCGCUACACUGACGACUUCAACGAGUUUUUUUCAUUUGAAAAAGUCCUUGGCCGGAAGGUCUGGGUAAUCCUUUAAAAGGUCGUCGUGAUGGGGCUAGAUUCUUGCAAUUAUUAAUCUCCAACGAGGAAUUCCUAGUAAACGCAAGUCAUCAACUUGCAUUGAUUACGUCCCUGCCCUUUGUACACACCGCCCGUCGCACCUACCGAUUGAGUGGUCCGGUGAGGCUUUGGGAUCUGAGCGGAAAGAGCGUUUCGCUGUUUCUGCUCGGAAAACUCAGUCGAACCUUAUCAUUUAGAGGAAGGAGAAGUCGUAACA